GAUGAACGCUGGCGGCGUGCUUAACACAUGCAAGUCGAACGGAAAGGCUCCUGCUUGCAGGGGUACUCGAGUGGCGAACGGGUGAGUAACACGUGGGUGAUCUGCCCUGCACUUCGGGAUAAGCCUGGGAAACUGGGUCUAAUACCGGAUAGGACGAUGGUUUGGAUGCCAUUGUGGAAAGUUUUUCGGUGUGGGAUGAGCUCGCGGCCUAUCAGCUUGUUGGUGGGGUAAUGGCCUACCAAGGCGUCGACGGGUAGCCGGCCUGAGAGGGUGUACGGCCACAUUGGGACUGAGAUACGGCCCAGACUCCUACGGGAGGCAGCAGUGGGGAAUAUUGCACAAUGGGCGCAAGCCUGAUGCAGCGACGCCGCGUGGGGGAUGACGGCCUUCGGGUUGUAACCUCCUUUCGCUAGGGACGAAGCGCAAGUGACGGUACCUGGAGAAGAAGCACCGGCUAACUACGUG
rnacentral:rRNA from 1 species